CACGUAGGAGGCGAGCGUUGUCCGGAAUCAUUGGGCGUAAAGAGCGCGCAGGCGGCUUGGCAAGUCGGGUGUGAAAUCCCGGGGCUCAACCCCGGGACUGCAUUCGAUACGGGCUAGCUAGAGUGUGGUAGGGGAGAUCGGAAUUCCUGGUGCAGCGGUGAAAUGCGCAGAUAUCAGGAGGAACACCGGUGGCGAAGGCGGGUCUCUGGGCCGAUACUGACGCUGAGGAGCGAAAGCGUGGGGAGCGAACAGG
rnacentral:rRNA from 1 species